GACGAAGGGGGCUAGCGUUGUUCGGAAUUACUGGGCGUAAAGCGAGUGUAGGUGGUUGUCCAAGUUGGAUGUGAAAGCCUUGAGCUCAACUCAAGAAAUGUAUUCAGGACUGGGCGGCUAGAGGACCGGAGAGGAUAGUGGAAUUCCCAGUGUAGUGGUGAAAUACGUAGAGAUUGGGAAGAACACCAGUGGCGAAGGCGGCUAUCUGGACGGUUUCUGACACUAAGACUCGAAAGCGUGGGGAGCAAACAGG
rnacentral:rRNA from 1 species